UGCGUAGGUGGCGGGGUAAGUUUGAUGUGAAAGCUCAGGGCUUAACCCUGAAAUGGCAUUGAAUACUACUCUGCUGGAGGUUUGGAGGGGGGGACGUGGAAUUCUUGGUGUAGCAGUGAAAUGCGUAGAUAUCAAGAGGAACACCAGUGGCGAAGGCGAGUCCCUGGACAACACCUGACACUGAGGCACGAAAGCUAGGGGAGCAAACA
rnacentral:rRNA from 1 species